rnacentral:rRNA from 1 species
GUGGGGAAUAUUGGACAAUGGGCGCAAGCCUGAUCCAGCCAUGCCGCGUGAGUGAUGAAGGCCUUAGGGUUGUAAAGCUCUUUCACCGAUGAAGAUAAUGACGGUAGUCGGAGAAGAAGCCCCGGCUAACUUCGUGCCAGCAGCCGCGGUAAUACGAAGGGGGCUAGCGUUGUUCGGAAUUACUGGGCGUAAAGCGCACGUAGGCGGAUAUUUAAGUCAGGGGUGAAAUCCCAGAGCUCAACUCUGGAACUGCCUUUGAUACUGGGUAUCUCGAGUAUGGAAGAGGUGAGUGGAAUUCCGAGUGUAGAGGUGAAAUUCGUAGAUAUUCGGAGGAACACCAGUGGCGAAGGCGGCUCACUGGUCCAUUACUGACGCUGAGGUGCGAAAGCGUGGGGAGCAAACAGGAUUAGAUACCCUUGUAGUCC